rnacentral:rRNA from 1 species
GAUGAACGCUAGCGGCAGGCCUAAUACAUGCAAGUCGAACGGUGUAGCAAUACACAGUGGCGCACGGGUGCGUAACACGUAUGCAACCUACCUUACAUUGGGGGAUAGCCUUUCGAAAGGGAGAUUAAUACCGCAUAAGACAGUAACUAGGCAUCUAGUAGCUGUUAAAGAUUUAUCGAUGUAAGCUGGGCAUGCGUCCAAUUAGUUAGUUGGCGAGGUAAUGGCUCACCAAGACGAUGAUUGGUAGGGGAACUGAGAGGUCAAUCCCCCACACUGGCACUGAGAUACGGGCCAGGCUCCUACGGGAGGCAGCAGUAGGGAAUAUUGGGCAAUGGGCGCAAGCCUGACCCAGCCAUGCCGCGUGCAGGAGAAGGCGUUAUGCGUUGUAAACUGCUUUUAUACAGGAAGAAACGACCCUUGCGAGGGGCAUUGACGGUACUGUAUGAAUAAGCACCGGCUAACUCCGUGCCAGCAGCCGCAGUAAAAC